CCCUAAUUGAAGGGAGCAUAAUGGACAAUCUGUUGGAAUUCCGCGUAAUUCAAUGGUCUGAGAAAUUUUGUAUUCUCUCUUAGCUUAUUGCAUCUCAUUUUAGUAGGAUUUUGUAUUGACUACUAUAUAUGAAAAGACACGUCUAACGCGUGCUAGUUAUUUAAUUUGUACCAAGGGGAGAUUACUAUUGAAGAAGGGUAUUGUUAUUAUUUAUUAGUUUGUUUAUUAAAA
rnacentral:misc_RNA from 1 species